CGGAGGGUGCGAGCGUUGUUCGGAAUUAUUGGGCGUAAAGCGCGUGUAGGCGGUUUGGUAAGUCUGAUGUGAAAGCCCCGGGCUCAACCUGGGGAGUGCAUUGGAAACUGUCAGACUUGAAUACGGGAGAGGGUAGUGGAAUUCCUAGUGUAGGAGUGAAAUCCGUAGAUAUUAGGAGGAACACCGGUGGCGAAGGCGGCUACCUGGACCGAUAUUGACGCUGAGACGACGAAAGCGGUGGGGAGAC
rnacentral:rRNA from 1 species